GAUGAACGCUGGCGGCGUGCCUAAUACAUGCAAGUCGAGCGAACGGACGAGAAGCUUGCUUUUCUGAUGUUAGCGGCGGACGGGUGAGUAACACGUGGAUAACCUACCUAUAAGACUGGGAUAACUUCGGGAAACCGGAGCUAAUACCGGAUAAUAUUUUGAACCGCAUGGUUCAAAAGUGAAAGACGGUUUUGCUGUCACUUAUAGAUGGAUCCGCGCUGCAUUAGCUAGUUGGUAAGGUAACGGCUUACCAAGGCAACGAUGCAUAGCCGACCUGAGAGGGUGAUCGGCCACACUGGAACUGAGACACGGUCCAGACUCCUACGGGAGGCAGCAGUAGGGAAUCUUGCGCAAUGGGCGAAAGCCUGACGGAGCAACGCCGCGUGAGUGAUGAAGGUCUUCGGAUCGUAAAACUCUGUUAUUAGGGAAGAACAUAUGUGUAAGUAACUGUGCACAUCUUGACGGUACCUAAUCAGAAAGCCACGGCUAACUACGUG
rnacentral:rRNA from 1 species